rnacentral:tRNA from 1 species
CGGGCUGUAGCGCAGCUUGGUAGCGCACUCGGCUGGGGGCCGAGGUGUCGCAGGUUCAAAUCCUGUCAGCCCGA